CCGCUCCACUAGUCAUGUGAUCGGAUGAGGACGGAGAGCAGCGGUGAAUUCUCUACAUGUGCACUGAUAAAGUCUUCUUCGUAAGACGAUGGUCCUUUCCAUCAACGACCGACCAGGGAUGGUGAAGGACAGAAACCACAUCGCUGCCGUGAUAUUAGACCUCGCCCUAGAGAUCAUCUCCUUGUUAACUGGAGAGGAUUGCACAGUAGUGAAGAAGUCGUCUGAUGAGUGUGUGACACCCCGUGUGUCAGG